rnacentral:lncRNA from 1 species
UUUAAUUGUCAAAUCUGUAAAUAAAAGGUACCCUAACUAACAUUCACAGCCCAUUCCAAACUCAGACCAUAGACGAAUUCAACCCAAAUUACAACUAAUGUGUUUUGUCUCCACUCUCCUUAGUCGACAGCAAGUCGCCGUUGCAGCUGUCGCCGUUUCUGUUGCCACCAUCACCAUCCUUGUAUAGAGGUAUUUAACUCUCCCCUUAGCUCUUCCAUGUUAUUGAAUUAUUACUAAUUUAUUUAAAUCUGAAUUAUUACUAAGUUAUUUGAAUCAGCCAGCUUUGUAAUUCUGCAAACAAAUUUCGUUUAACUUAUUUUUGUAUUCUGAGUUAGUUAAUUGAAUAGUAUAAACAACAUUAUUUUUACUAGGAAUCAUUUUUAUUUCGUCUGUUGAGCCUAGUUUCUUCCAAAAGCAGCCUGCUACCCCAUGGUAGGGUUAAGGUAUGUGUACAAAGUAUACUCCCCAAACUUCACUAAUGUUUUAUGUCAAAUCGGGUAGGGUUAAGGUAUGUACAAACUAUACUCCCCAAACUUCACUAAUGUUUUAUGUCAAAUAUUGCUUUGCCUCUAUGAUGUUCAAGCUUGAGUAAUUCUCUUUGCUAGUUGAAGCAGAUGAAAUUGUGAAUAGUGUUGUCAUUGGAUUCUAAAUAGUUAAAGUGCAAAGCAAAGCUUGGAAUUUAAGUGAAGAAGGGUAGAGGGACGGGCUCAUUAUCCAGUGAGUUUCAAAGGUUGCAGUUAGUCCUAAGGAUCGGCCUCAGACAAAUUUUUCUAUUAUUAAAAAAAAUAGUUAAAGUGCAAUGUAUAUGUAUUACAAUUUGAAAGGCAGUUGAUGUGGUGCUUCAAUUUGUUAUACGCAUGACUUGAGAAUAGACAUUAGGCCCCUUCCACCUUUACAGAAAUUAAGCCAUCAAAUAUCCCUUUGUUUGUGCUAGAAUCAAUAUUUGAAAAAGCAAAAAGGUUGUCCACCUUUACAGAAAUUAAGCCAUCAUCCUUUGUUUGUGCCAGAAUCAAUAUUUGAAAAAGCAAAAAGGUUUGGAAGCCCAUUUUGGACAGAUGAAGCCCCAUUUGGAGAGUUUUUUUUCCUGAUAACCGAGAAAUAUGUCCGGGCAACCCUUAGGACCAUCCGCAAGACGCUCCUAACCUUCUACGCUUAAACACCAAGCUUAGUUCACAUGGCACAGGGCUCGAACCAGUAACCUAAGUCACUAGUUCCUCGACAUUUUCCACUUGGACUAAUCCCUGAGGUUUGCAAUAUUAUAAAAACUGAGAACUGAAAAACCUAACAAAACUUUUCAAAAUUAAGGCCGAAUUGACGGAUGUCCAAUCCUACUGCUAAUGGGCUUUAGGUCAACAUGAAAUAGGAUCAGUGUUGUAUUUAGAAAAGCAGAGAAUCUCAACAUGUAUUGGCUACAC